UGCAGGUGAUGUGAAGAGUAUUUGUCGUCUGAACGAUGGUGAGGACGCUGCUAACCACCGAGAUCGCUGAUGCA